GGCUCAGGAUGAACGCUAGCGGCAGGCUUUAACACAUGCAAGUCGAGGGGUAUAGUUCUUCGGAACUAGAGACCGGCGCACGGGUGCGUAACGCGUAUGCAAUCACCUUUUACAGAGGGAUAGCCCAGAGAAAUUUGGAUUAAUACCUCAUAGUAUGUGAGAAUCGCAUGGUUUUCACAUUAAAGUUCCAACGGUAAAAGAUGAGCAUGCGUCCCAUUAGCUAGAUGGUAAGGUAACGGCUUACCAUGGCGACGAUGGGUAGGGGUCCUGAGAGGGAGAUCCCCCACACUGGUACUGAGACACGGACCAGACUCCUACGGGAGGCAGCAGUGAGGAAUAUUGGACAAUGGGCGCAAGCCUGAUCCAGCCAUGCCGCGUGCAGGAUGACGGUCCUAUGGAUUGUAAACUGCUUUUGUACAGGAAGAAACACUCCCUCGUGAGGGAGCUUGACGGUACUGUAAGAAUAAGGAUCGGCUAACUCCGUG
rnacentral:rRNA from 1 species